UCUCUGCUGCCGUCUUGAUGGGCCGAGUUGUGAGGAAUGGAUCGAAUUGGGGAUUCUUUAUCAAGUAGUUUGUAAGAUUACUCUACGAGUUGAGCGAUUAACCUGUUGCCCCGCUGCUCGAGUUGAGUUGUUAAUUUGUUGUCUCUGUCUUGAGGUAUGAGAGUGGAUAUAAGAUUGAUUGAUGCAAUUGCUGCGAGUGGAGUGUUGUGUUCUUGGGCUUUUACUGCAUCGAAUGCUCUUUCAAGGUUCAUGAUAGUUAUGUUUGUUGCUGAUAGUCGGUGACGUUCAGCCCGAGUAGCAUUGCGUGCCCUUCUUUGAUUUCUCUGUUCCGAGGUUUCAUCCUGCGGGCAUUAGCUGAUGACUCGUCUUCUGAAAUGUUGUCGAGUUGUGCUAUCCAUCGAGGAGUUCUCUGUUGGCUAGUACCCACGUCAUUGUUUUGUGUGAUGAUGAAAAUUUCCUGGUCUAGGUAGUAGCUUCCAGAGCUUGAUGUUGCAAUCUCUGUAGUGCUUUCUUCACGGUUUGAAGUAAG
rnacentral:lncRNA from 1 species